AGCAACUGCAAUUGUAGAAGAUCAUAGAAUACUCCACAGGCUAAACUCUUCAAAGUUUCUUCAAGAACCAUCAUCAGAGGUGUAACUCAUUUUGUGCCACAAGACAAAUCAGUGAUGGUCUCUCCUUAUGAAAUUCUGGUGCUUCUACACUUAAGAACACUGCAUUCAACUUUGGACAUCUAAGUACCAGAAAGACAAACUACAAGAGAUUCAAAGAAGGGCAACAGAUGGUAUUAGACAGCUGAAAGGACUGACCGAAGAGGAAAGAUGGGAAGAAUCAAAUAUGUAUAGUAUGUUCAACAAACUCACGGGAGACAUAUAGUAAUAAUUCACUAUAAGUAUGAGAUGGGUGUGAACACUAUGGAAGGGCAGGAUUGUCCAGGAUAGUGCAAAGGAGAAAUGUGGUGAGAUUAAGUAAGGGAAAACAGAGGCUGAUUAUUAGGGAAAUUAUUCACAAUGGUGAGAUAUCCCAGGCUAGAUAGAAUCCAAAAGGAAGUAGUGGAAGGUCCAGUGCUUGGGACAUUGCAUAUACUGUAGUGAACAAUCCCCCGCUGCACGGGGUGAUCUAACAAGACGUUUGCAUCUCUAAUUUCUGUGGCGACGAUUCUGCUAUCUUUUCUCACACUGAGUAGUACUUCACUCUUAGCAAUUACAGUGGGACUAGUUGCAAAGUAAGAUACUGUUCAAUGGGCCAGAUUCUCAGCUGGUGUAAAUGAGUGUGGCUUCACUGAAAUCAAUUUACACUAGUCUAGGAUCUGGCCCAAUGUGAGUAAGUUUAGCAGAAUCUGGCCCUGUAAUUGUAUUAAUAAAAGAUGCUGGAAGUCUU